UACGAAGGGGGAUAGCGUUGUUAGGAAUCACUGGGCGUAAAGCGCACGCAGGCGGAUCGAUAAGUCGGGGGUGAAAGCCCGGGGCUGAACCUCGGAAUUGUCUUCGAUACUGUCGGUCUCGAGUCCGGGAGAGGUGAGUGGAAUUCCUAGUGUAGAGGUGAAAUUAGUAGAUAUUAGGAAGAACUCCAGUGGCGAAGGCGGCUCACUGGCCCGGUACUGUCGCUCAGGUGCGAAAGCGUGGGGAGCAAACAGG
rnacentral:rRNA from 1 species